GAGUUUGAUCUUGGCUCAGGAUGAACGCUAGCGGCAGGCUUAAUACAUGCAAGUCGUGGGGCAGCAGGUCUGUAGCAAUACAGAUGUUGGCGACCGGCAAACGGGUGCGGAAACACGUACGCAACCUUCCUUCAAAUGGGGGAUAGCCCGGGGAAACCCGGAUUAAUACCCCGUAAUAUUAUGAGGUGGCAUCUCCUUAUAAUUAUAGCAGCAAUGCGUUUGAAGAUUGGGGCGUGCGCCUGAUUAGGUAGUUGGCGGGGUAAUGGCCCACCAAGCCUACGAUCAGUAACUGGUGUGAGAGCACGACCAGUCACACGGGCACUGAGACACGGGCCCGACUCCUACGGGAGGCAGCAGUAAGGAAUAUUGGGCAAUGGACGCAAGUCUGACCCAGCCAUGCCGCGUGGAGGAUGAAGGUCCUCUGGAUUGUAAACUUCUUUUAUCU
rnacentral:rRNA from 1 species